rnacentral:rRNA from 1 species
CAGUGGCGCACGGGUGAGUAACACGUGACUAACCUACCCUGGAGUGGGGGAUAACUGAGGGAAACCUUAGCUAAUACCGCAUAAUACCUACGGGUCAAAGGAGCAAUUCGCUUCAGGAGGGGGUCGCGGCCGAUUAGUUAGUUGGCGGGGUAAUGGCCCACCAAGACAGUGAUCGGUAUCCGGCCUGAGAGGGCGCACGGACACACUGGAACUGAAACACGGUCCAGACUCCUACGGGAGGCAGCAGUGGGGAAUUUUGCGCAAUGGGGGAAACCCUGACGCAGCAACGCCGCGUGGAGGAUGAAGUCCUUCGGGACGUAAACUCCUUUCGAUCGGGACGAUAAUGACGGUACCGGAAGAAGAAGCCCCGGCUAACUUCGUGCCAGCAGCCGCGGUAAUACGAGGGGGGCGAGCGUUGUUCGGAAUUAUUGGGCGUAAAGGGUGCGUAGGCGGUUUGGUAAGUCUUAUGUGAAAUCUAUGGGCUCAACUCAUAGACUGCAUGAGAAACUGCCGGGCUUGAGUAUGGGAGAGGUGAGUGGAAUUCCUGGUGUAGCGGUGAAAUGCGUAGAUAUCAGGAGGAACACCUGUGGCGAAAGCGGCUCACUGGACCAUAAC